rnacentral:lncRNA from 1 species
CCCAAAACAACAUGAUUCAAUAUAUGGAAGAAAAUCUCUGAAGGCAGAAUUUUUUAAAUGAGAAGACUCCCAUCUUUUUGAAAGAAAUAUGAACAACUAAGAUGAUGAUGAUCAUUACCACCUCUAUUAAUUUUUCCCUGCAGAAAGUCUAGGAAAGGAGAAUCUACAGUGCAGCAAGUGAGAGAAGAAUCUGUCUUGUAAUCCAAACACAUAACUACUGAUGAAAAAGGAAG